UACGUAGGGUGCGAGCGUUGUCCGGAAUUAUUGGGCGUAAAGGGCUCGUAGGCGGUCUGUUGCGUCGGGAGUGAAAACUCAGGGCUUAACCCUGAGCCUGCUUCCGAUACGGGCAGACUAGAGGUAUGCAGGGGAGAACGGAAUUCCUGGUGUAGCGGUGAAAUGCGCAGAUAUCAGGAGGAACACCGGUGGCGAAGGCGGUUCUCUGGGCAUUACCUGACGCUGAGGAGCGAAAGUGUGGGAGCGAACAGG
rnacentral:rRNA from 1 species